rnacentral:rRNA from 1 species
UGCGGAAGGAUCAUUACAAGUGAGGCUACCGAACGUUGGAAACAGCGGUUAGGAGCUUACACCCACCCGUGUUUACAUACUAUUGUUGCUUUGGCGGGCCGUGGCCUCCACUGCGGGCUCUGCUCGUGUGUGCCCGCCAGAGAACCAAACUCUGAAUGUUAGUGAUGUCUGAGUACUAUCUAAUAGUUAAAACUUUCAACAACGGAUCUCUUGGUUCUGGCAUCGAUGAAGAACGCAGCGAAAUGCGAUAAGUAAUGUGAAUUGCAGAAUUCAGUGAAUCAUCGAAUCUUUGAACGCACAUUGCGCCCUGUGGUAUUCCGCAGGGCAUGCCUGUUCGAGCGUCAUUUAACCACUCACGCCUAGCGUGGUAUUAGGGUACGCGGUCUCGCGGCCCUCAAAAUUAGUGGCGGCGCCGGUGGGCUCUAAGCGUAGUACAUACUCCCGCUAUAGAGUUCCUCCGGUGGCUCGCCAGAACCCCCAAUUUUUACAGGUUGACCUCGGAUCAGGUAGGGAUACCCGCUGAACUUAA